GACGAACGCUGGCGGCGUGCUUAACACAUGCAAGUCGAACGGUGACCCUCGGAGCUUGCUUCGGGGUGAACAGUGGCGAACGGGUGAGUAACACGUGAGUAACCUGCCCCUGACUCUGGAAUAAGCGCUGGAAACGGCGUCUAAUACCGGAUAUGACACGCCUCCGCAUGGGGAGCGUGUGGAAAGUUUUUCGGUCUGGGAUGGACUCGCGGCCUAUCAGCUUGUUGGUGAGGUAAUGGCUCACCAAGGCGAUGACGGGUAGCCGGCCUGAGAGGGCGACCGGCCACACUGGGACUGAGACACGGCCCAGACUCCUACGGGAGGCAGCAGUGGGGAAUAUUGCACAAUGGGCGAAAGCCUGAUGCAGCGACGCCGCGUGAGGGAUGACGGCCUUCGGGUUGUAAACCUCUUUCAGCAGGGAAGAAGCGAAAGUGACGGUACCUGCAGAAGAAGCACCGGCUAACUACGUGCCAGCCGCCGCAGUAAAAC
rnacentral:rRNA from 1 species